AGCGACGGUCGGCAGCACAUGGUUCUACAUCGAUGAUAUACACCGAAUCAAACGUAACGAUGAUGUUGUUAUGUGUGUGAAUAUAACGGUGUGUACUCUACGUUGGUAUGGAUUCAGCCUAUUGCGGCCUGCAGGACUAUAAGAGAUCCGGGAAACGAUGGGGGAAAAUGCAGCAAGGCAGCUGGUUUUUCCCAACAACAGUGCUGAAAUCCCAUCCCACGCUGGCGGCAGGCUCGGUCCUUUUUUCAUUUAUUUUUCUAUUUUAUUUAUAAAUACACGUACUGCAUAUCCAUUGCUUAUUUUUAUUUUCAAACAUUUUUUGUUUUCUUUUGUUUUCUUUUGUUUUGUUGUGUUUGUGUUUUCGUUUUUGUUUUUGUUUUUGUUUUUUUGUUUUGUUUUUGUUUUUGUUUUUUGGAAUUUGUUUCCAUCCCAAAUAGUCUACGUUUGAAGAUCGUGCUUUCUUUUUGUUUCCAGACGAUGGGCUUUUCUUUUAUUUGCCGAUUGAUAUUUGGCUUCGGAGAAGUAAUAUAAAGUGAAACGUUCGAUGGCAAGCCUGUUUCAUUCACUCAUUUUUUUAUUCGGCUUUCCAAGAACAGAACUUUUAUUUUCUUCUCCCAUCCGUAUCCAUCUUAUCCCAGCCGUUUUAUUUUAUUUUUAUUUUAUAUUUUAUAUAUAUUUUUUUUUUUUACUUUCGUAUAUAUAUAUUUUGUUUUUCUUUUCUUUUUUUGAAAAUCCUGCUUCUGUUUCUCCCCUUUUUUUCUUUUUCACCGGUUCGUAUUCCACCAUCCACUCAUCCGAGCCAAAGCUCUGGAACGCGAGAGAAUCUUUAGCGCUCUACCACGCACCGAUACCACAAUACGCGAGCGUAUACGUGCAUACCAGACACACGCACGCACAUCAGACACGUUCACCAUCGCACACACACACACCCACACAACCCACCGACCAAACAAAACCGAGAAAACCAACCUCCUCACAGAAUAAGUUGAUGAAAUCUAGGCAAAAGAGUCUUUUCUCUCUCUCUCUCUCUCUGGUCCCCCCUCUGCCUUUGUCUCUUUUCUCUUCUUCUUCUCCGUCUGUCUGUCCUUCUCCUUUUUUUUUUUUUAUUCUCUGUCUGACUUUUCCUCACUCCCUUUCUCUCUCUCUUUCUCUCUCUCUCUCUCUCUCUCUGUUUCUUCCUCUCAGCUCCUAUGUGUUUUUUUGGCUUGGUCUCUCUCGGCCAUCCCGGACCACCUCAAGACUUUGCACCGGCCCGAAUGUAUAUACACCCGCCUUCAGUCCGUCCUUCCGCCUCCGCUCGAGCGCACGCCGUGUCUCUCACCCCAUUCUCUGCCUCCCCGUCCUCUCCUCCCCCCUCCCCCCUCCCCGUCCUCU